UACGGAGGGUGCAAGCGUUAAUCGGAAUUACUGGGCGUAAAGCGUGCGCAGGCGGUUUGUUAAGUCUGCUGUGAAAUCCCCGAGCUCAACUUGGGAAUUGCAGUGGAUACUGGCAGGCUGGAGUAUGGUAGAAGAAGGUGGAAUUCCCGGUGUAGCAGUGAAAUGCGUAGAGAUCGGGAGGAACACCAGUGGCGAAGGCGGCCUUCUGGACCAAUACUGACGCUCAUGCACGAAAGCGUGGGGAGCAAACAGG
rnacentral:rRNA from 1 species